rnacentral:rRNA from 1 species
UGGGGAAUAUUGGGCAAUGGGAGGAAUCCUGACCCAGCGACGCCGCGUGAACGAAGACGGCCUUCGGGUUGUAAAGUUCUUUUAUGUGGGAAGAAGGAAGUGACGGUACCACAUGAAUAAGCCCCGGCUAACUACGUGCCAGCAGCCGCGGUAAUACGUAGGGGGCGAGCGUUGUCCGGAAUUACUGGGCGUAAAGGGCACGCAGGCUGUGCUUCAAGUCAGCUGUAAAAGGAUGCGGCUUAACCGUGUUAUGCAGUUGAGACUGAGGUGCUGGAGUACCGGAGAGGCAAGUGGAAUUCCCAGUGUAGCGGUGAAAUGCGUAGAUAUUGGGAAGAACAUCGGUGGCGAAGGCGACUUGCUGGACGGUAACUGACGCUGAGGUGCGAAAGCCAGGGUAGCGAACG